rnacentral:rRNA from 1 species
UACGAAGGGGGGCUAGCGUUGCUCGGAAUUACUGGGCGUAAAGGGCGCGUAGGCGGACAGUUUAGUCAGAGGUGAAAGCCCAGGGCUCAACCUUGGAAUUGCCUUUGAUACUGGCUGUCUUGAGUUCGGGAGAGGUGAGUGGAAUGCCGAGUGUAGAGGUGAAAUUCGUAGAUAUUCGGCGGAACACCAGUGGCGAAGGCGACUCACUGGCCCGAUACUGACGCUGAGGCGCGAAAGCUAGGGUAGCGAACGGG